GGCGUGCUUACACAUGCAAGUCGAACGAGAAAGAUUUCUUCGGAAAUUGAGUAGAGUGGCGCACGGGUGAGUAACGCGUAGGUAAUCUACCCUAAUAUUUGGGAUAACAUUGGGAAACUGGUGCUAAUACCGGAUACCCUUCUUUUCCGUCGGGUUAAGGAGGAAAGGUGGCCUCCUCAUGAAAGCUACCGUAUAAGGAUGAGCCUGCGUACCAUUAGCUAGUAGGUGGGGUAAAGGCCCACCUAGGCUACGAUGGUUAGCGGGUCUGAGAGGAUGAUCCGCCACACUGGAACUGGAACACGGACCAGACUCCUACGGGAGGCAGCAGUGAGGAAUAUUGCGCAAUGGGGGAAACCCCGACGCAGCGACGCCGCGUGAGUGAGGAAGGUUUUCGGAUCGUAAAGCUCUGUCAGAAGGGAAGAAGUGUUAUAUAGUUAAUACCUGUAUAAUUUGACGGUACCUUCAGAGGNAAGCACCGGCUAACUCCGUGCCAGCAGCCGGCGGUAAUACGGAGGGNGCGAGCGUUGUUCGGAAUUACUG
rnacentral:rRNA from 1 species